rnacentral:rRNA from 1 species
AUCCUGGCUCAGGACGAACGCUGGCGGCGUGCUUAACACAUGCAAGUCGAGCGAUGAAACUUCCUUCGGGAAGUGGAUUAGCGGCGGACGGGUGAGUAACACGUGGGUAACCUGCCUCAAAGUGGGGAAUAGCCUUCCGAAAGGGAGAUUAAUACCGCAUAAUAUAAGAGAAUCGCAUGAUUUUCUUAUCAAAGAUUUAUUGCUUUGAGAUGGACCCGCGGCGCAUUAGCUAGUUGGUAAGGUAACGGCUUACCAAGGCAACGAUGCGUAGC